rnacentral:rRNA from 1 species
GGCGUAAACAAAGGGAAGCGAGCCUGUGAAGGGGAGCAAAUCCCAAAAAUAACGUCCCAGUUCGGAUUGUAGCCUGCAACCCGACUACAUGAAGCUGGAAUCGCUAGUAAUCGCGGAUCAGAAUGCCGCGGUGAAUACGUUCCCGGGUCUUGUACACACCGCCCGUCACACCAUGGGAGUCGGAAAUGCCCGAAGUCUGUGACCUAACCGUAAGGAAGGAGCAGCCGAAGGCAGGUCGGAUGACUGGGGUGAAGUCGUAACAAGGUACC